AGACAGGGAAAUGGACCACCCCCCAACCCGGGUCAGGUUGUCUGAUACAAUACAGAGGGGGGCUGAGUUUGUUCCAGGGAAACUGAGGCAUUGGAAAUCAGGAUAAGUUUGUGACAGGAAAAACUACAGAAUCACCACCAUCGUAACAAAUCCAACAGUCAUCUGGAAGUUAGGUAGGUUUAGUUGCUCAGCUGUUUGACUCUUGUGACAUCAAGGACUGUAGCCUGCCAGGCUUCUCUGUCCAUGAGAUUUCCCAAGCAAGAAUCCUGGAGUGGAUUACCAUUUCCUUCUCCAGGGGAUCUUCCCAUCCUGGGCAUUGAAGCCAUGUGUCCUGCAUUGCAGGCUGACUCAACCGACUGAGCCAGUUGGAUUACUGUUAUUUGCAAUGUCAGAUAUCUAAACAACAGCAUUCUCUUUCCAGGCCAGAACAUGACAAAAGGUGGACAAAAGAUCAAAAGGCUUCCCUGGUGGUACAGUCAUUAAGAAUCCGUCUGCCAAUGCAAGGGAUACAGGUUCGAUCCCUGGUCUGGAAAGAUCCCAUAUGCCGAGGGGCAACUAAGCCUGUGCACCACAACCAGAGUAGUCCCCACUUACCUCAACGAGAGAAAGCCUCUGCAACAACAAAGACCCGGCACAGUCACAAAUAAAUAAAUCUUUUACAAGUUAAAAAAAAUUAAAACAAAUUAAAAAAAAAAAAAAAAAAACCUUCAUGGUGUAGGAAUUAGGAAAAGAUGGUUAAUUAGGGAAGGAGAAGUGAAAGAAACUUUCCGGGUCCAACGUCUUGGUAGGAAGCAGUCUACUUCAAUAUCAGCUACUUUUCCUAGUCCAUUCAAUUUUGAAGUCUCUGGCUAGUGUGCAGUUCCUAGAGUCUAGAGGAGUCCUUUGAAGUUGAUAAAUGAGGACUCAAGGUUUAAGUCCCUGAUAUUUGGCUGUCAUCUGGGUAUUGAGAAGUUGCUAUAUAAAAGGUUCCCUUCCAAAGAGAUCAAACAGCAGUCUUUGUACUUAGUGACUCCAAAUUAGAAGGGUGGGGAAAAAACUUGAAACUUUA
ensembl:lncRNA